GAUGAAGAACGCAGCGAAAUGCGAUACUUGGUGUGAAUUGCAGAAUCCCGUGAACCAUCGAGUCUUUGAACGCAAGUUGCGCCCGAAGCCAUCAGGUUGAGGGCACGUCUGCCUGGGCGUCACAUAUCGUUGCCCAAUGCCUAUUGCAGUGCAAUAGGAAUUUCUAGGGCGAAUGAUGGCUUCCCGUGAGCGUUGUUGCCUCGCGGUUGGUUGAAAAUCGAGUCCUUGGUAGGGUGUGCCAUGGUAGAUGGUGGUCGAGUUAGAACGAUACCGAUCAUGUGCAUGCUCCCCAAAAUAUGGCCUCUAUGACCCACACGCGUCUUUUGACGCUCAUGACGAGACCUCAGGUCAGGCGGGGCUACCCGCUGAAUUUAAGCAUAUCAAUAAGCGGAAGA
rnacentral:misc_RNA from 1 species